rnacentral:rRNA from 1 species
AUUGAACGCUGGCGGCAGGCCUAACACAUGCAAGUCGAGCGGAUGAAGGGAGCUUGCUCCUGGAUUCAGCGGCGGACGGGUGAGUAAUGCCUAGGAAUCUGCCUGGUAGUGGGGGAUAACGUCCGGAAACGGGCGCUAAUACCGCAUACGUCCUGAGGGAGAAAGUGGGGGAUCUUCGGACCUCACGCUAUCAGAUGAGCCUAGGUCGGAUUAGCUAGUUGGUGGGGUAAAGGCCUACCAAGGCGACGAUCCGUAACUGGUCUUAGAGGAUGAUCAGUCACACUGGAACUGAGACGCGGUCCAGACUCCUACGGGAGGCAGCAGUGGGGAAUAUUGGACAAUGGGCGAAAGCCUGAUCCAGCCAUGCCGCGUGUGUGAAGAAGGUCUUCGGAUUGUAAAGCACUUUAAGUUGGGAGGAAGGGCAGUAAGUUAAUACCUGGCUGUUUUGACGUUACCAACAGAAUAAGCACCGGCUAACUUCGUG